CCGCUUACGUGGAGCUAGGGGGUUCUUCACAUGUCGACGAGCGAAGGGUCGGCUAUGGAUUUCUCAUUUGAAAAGGGCCGCCCCAACUUGAAGAGGAUGCUUCUGACGUGCCUAUUGUCUGAAGACCCCUUUACCAGCCCCUGCCUUCCUACGAAGCACAAAAGGCGAUACACUUACUUUUCUUUCUUGCUGGAAACCGGGGAAACCACGGAAACUUUUGGCGUUGUAUUGGCGGCGCCCUUUUAUUCUAUGGGUGCUGGGCCCAAAGCCAAUUUUGGAAUUUCCAGACGGAAUCGCGUAUACGGCACAGAAGUCGUUGGUAUUUCGCCAAAACGCUUAGUCUUUCGUUUUGUCCCCUCUAUCUUAUUUCCUACUACUGCUGCUGCUUUUUUUUUCUUCUGUGUGUAUUGUAUUAUUAUGAUUAUUUUUCAUUGUCGUGCCUGGCCCGACAUCAGGUAUGCAGGUGGCAUGGUAGGCUCUGUAAAGCGCUCUAUUUACUGAACUAGCAGGGAUUUGCAGAUGAUUUUCGACUGAGGGGGGUUCUUGUAAUUUUGUGCAGGGAUGUGAUACCCAUAUCAGAUGUUUUUAUUUGUGUGUGUGUGUGUGUGAUUUAUGGCCAAUUUUGGUCGUAUUUUGGUCUUUCUGGCGGGUGUUUUGGGCGUGUGUUGCAAGAUCUUUGGGAGGGCAUUAGGGGCAGGGGAUGCUGGGAAAAUGCCUGUGAAGUAGAGCAAGUUCUCUACUGGGCAACGUCAUUGUUUCGUAACUUUGUGCAUUAUACAGGGCGUUUAUUUUUAUUUGUUUCAGAAUUUUUAUUACAAAACCAGCAGAGCAAAAUUGAUGCCGUUUUUGCAGUUGAGUUCUACGACCAGGCUGACAUGCCCUCGAAGAAAGCUGCAAACGUCGGUUGUACGAACCCAGUGCUUCGUAUCGUAGGUGUACCAUGGGACAGACAGGCGGACGUCAUCCUAGCAUCAGUCACCCCAGUUCACGAAUUCGCCCAGAAAAAUGAACCCACGAAGCGCAUGGUGUCGUUCGUGCCUGUGCGGUCAUGCUGGCCAACAAGACCAUUCUUCACCGUCCCGUGCAAUUGCUGCGCCGCUUGGAAGGGGACAUCGCACCACCCGUGGCCCGGGAGGAGGUAGAGAAAAGAGGAGGAGGACAGGGCUCUUAGGCUCGGAAGUUAGAUGAAGGCGAGGAACACGAGAGCAAUAAUAAAGGUUUAGUUUGGUAGAAGGCA